AUUUAGAUAGUUUAAAUAAAAUAUUAAUUUGUGGAAUUAAUGAUGUAAAGUAAGAACUUUAAGUA
rnacentral:tRNA from 1 species